GAGCACCGGCUAACUCCGUGCCAGCAGCCGCGGUAAUACGGAGGGUGCGAGCGUUAAUCGGAAUUACUGGGCGUAAAGCGCAUGCAGGUGGUUUGUUAAGUCAGAUGUGAAAGCCCGGGGCUCAACCUCGGAAUUGCAUUUGAAACUGGCAGACUAGAGUACUGUAGAGGGGGGUAGAAUUUCAGGUGUAGCGGUGAAAUGCGUAGAGAUCUGAAGGAAUACCGGUGGCGAAGGCGGCCCCCUGGACAGAUACUGACACUCAGAUGCGAAAGCGUGGGGAGCAAACAGGAUUAGAUACCCUGGUAGUCCACGCCGUAAACGAUGUCUACUUGGAGGUUGUGGCCUUGAGCCGUGGCUUUCGGAGCUAACGCGUUAAGUAGACCGCCUGGGGAGUACGGUCGCAAGAUUAAAACUCAAAUGAAUUGACGGGGGCCCGCACAAGCGGUGGAGCAUGUGGUUUAAUUCGAUGCAACGCGAAGAACCUUACCUACUCUUGACAUCCAGAGAACUUUCCAGAGAUGGAUUGGUGCCUUCGGGAACUCUGAGACAGGUGCUGCAUGGCUGUCGUCAGCUCGUGUUGUGAAAUGUUGGGUUAAGUCCCGCAACGAGCGCAACCCUUAUCCUUGUUUGCCAGCGAGUAAUGUCGGGAACUCCAGGGAGACUGCCGGUGAUAAACCGGAGGAAGGUGGGGACGACGUCA
rnacentral:rRNA from 1 species